UUGCUUCAGCAGCACAUACGCUAUAAUUGCAACUAUCUAUAGAAGAUUAAUUUGGCUCCUGCACAAGGAUGUCACACAAAUUCAUGAAGCGUUCCAUAUUUUG